GGAUUGAUAGCUUAGUUGGUAGAGCAGGCCCCUCUUAAGGGCAAGGUCGCGGGUUCGAAUCCCGCUCGAUCCACCA
rnacentral:tRNA from 1 species